rnacentral:lncRNA from 1 species
GGUGAGAGACUGCUAUUCCUUUCAAGCUACCCAUGUGUACUACAAGGUAAACAAAGUGUCAGACUGGGUCGUCUCCUUUGCUGCUCAUCAUUUAGAAGAGGUUUUAUGAAUAUGGUCUAUAAAGAAGAAGAAGAAGAAGAGGGAAGUUUUAUGGUUUUAAUUUACUAACCAUGGGUAACAUGUUGUCCAUCAAAUUCAUUGGAUUCUCUAGGGGUCGGCAGUCACUGUUUUUCGUAAGCUCGACGCUACGCAGAAUUGACGUCUUACCAGAAGCGACACCGGUAGCUGACCUGGAGCCUGCAUGGAAAUUACCGCGCCAGUGGCCAAAAGAAGGCUAGUUUCACCCAUCAUACCAUUUACCUCGGUAUAAUCCAUCAUUUUCACUCGUCAUACCACUAUUUUCACUCGUCCUACAAGCAAAAUAUGAUCCUAGGUUGGGUUGGCUUAGGCAGUUAGGCCCAAUCCUACCUACAAA